UUCUCUAAGAGUGUCUCAUAAAAUAUUUGUUUUAUUGCAAGCAUCUGCGCUAAAACAAACUAUAUUACAUCGAAUUUAGUAUAUAAACUUAUAGUUUUGCUUAAUACCACAACAAACAAUUUCACUGAUACUGAAUUGUUUUUUAUUCUUUUCAAUUCGAAGUUUCUUAUUUAGGUAGAUGAAAAUGAUGUGGAAAAUACUAUUUUUGGGGCUGAUUGGAUUGACUACUGUCAACGCAAUAGUGUGUCCCCCUGGAUUUUGCGAUAAACAGAAAUGUCCAGAAAAUGUUAAAUGCGGUGAAAAUCAACGCCUCAAGGAAAAUGCUAGUUUUUGUGGAUGCUGCAGUCAGUGUAUAACAGUAUUGCAGAACGGUGACUCUUGUCAUGCUCUACUUCUGAGGGGAGUGCCUCCUCCAUCAGAAUGUGGCGAAAAUUCGCAUUGUGACUUUGAAACAAUAAAAUGUGUACCAAACUAAAUGGGAAACUAA